rnacentral:rRNA from 1 species
CCUACGGGAGGCUGCAGUGGGGAAUAUUGGACAAUGGGGGGAACCCUGAUCCAGCCAUGCCGCGUGUGUGAAGAAGGCCCUCGGGUUGUAAAGCACUUUCAGUGAGGAAGAACGCCUGGUGGUUAAUACCCAUCAGGAAAGACAUCACUCACAGAAGAAGCACCGGCUAACUCCGUGCCAGCAGCCGCGGUAAUACGGAGGGUGCGAGCGUUAAUCGGAAUUACUGGGCGUAAAGCGCGCGUAGGUGGCUUGAUAAGCCGGUUGUGAAAGCCCCGGGCUCAACCUGGGAACGGCAUCCGGAACUGUCGAGCUAGAGUGCAGGAGAGGAAGGUAGAAUUCCCGGUGUAGCGGUGAAAUGCGUAGAGAUCGGGAGGAAUACCAGUGGCGAAGGCGGCCUUCUGGACUGACACUGACACUGAGGUGCGAAAGCGUGGGUAGCAAACAGGAUUAGAUACCCUGGUAGUC